GACGUAGGGUCCGAGCGUUGUCCGGAGUUACUGGGCGUAAAGGGCGCGUAGGCGGUUUGUCGCGUCUGCCGUGAAAGUCCGGGGCUCAACUCCGGAUCUGCGGUGGGUACGGGCAGACUAGAGUGAUGUAGGGGAGACUGGAAUUCCUGGUGUAGCGGUGAAAUGCGCAGAUAUCAGGAGGAACACCGAUGGCGAAGGCAGGUCUCUGGGCAUUAACUGACGCUGAGGAGCGAAAGCAUGGGGAGCGAACAGG
rnacentral:rRNA from 1 species